AUAACAUCUCUCUCUCUCUCUCUCUCUCUCUCUCUCUCUCUCUCUCAAGUGGAGUAUUUUUUCUCUUUUUCAGGCUGUUAGCCAGAUUUGUAGAGAUAUGGGUAUCUGCGUAUCGCUUUCCUUUUUAUGCCUGACUCUCAUGAAGACAGCGACCCAUCCUCUUCCCCCCCCUCUCUCUCAUGGAGACAGCGACCCAUCCUCCGUCUGUUCACUUCCCACUCCUCCAUGAUUUCUGCUACCCUCUCUCUCUCUCUUGCUUUUCUUUUUUGCUUUUCUUAUCUCUCUGAUCACUUUUCUUUUCGGUUCCUUAUAUUCCGAGCGUUAAUUGAAAUCCUAUUUCCCCCCUACUUUUGUUCCUCUCUUCUUUUUUUUUGGAGUAAUAAUUCCACAUAGUACUGCCGGUGAUUCCCUUGUGAUCAAAUAUGGUUCUUGAAGAUGUGCAGAGGCCUCCAUGGAACUAUUGGGUUUCCAUUAAUAGAAUCAUCAUACUCACUAUAGAAUGGAGAAGCUUGUGGAUUACUGCAAAUGCGUGAAUGAUGCGGGAGACGAAUUUCAUCCUUUCUUCUCCGUGCUUGGACUGAAGGGAGCUCCCUUUUAUUGUUUCCUCGAUCUAGCCAAUUAAUAAUUGUAUUCGAUCCUAAAUUUUUCAGUACUUAAUACAUUUGAAGUUAGUGCCUUUGCUGGAUUUUUUCUUCUUUGGAAUAAUUGGUCAUUAUAAAUCUGAUUUAGCCCUAAGAGCUCUUUUAGCUUA